AAUAAGUAUAGUUUUGUAGUACUGUCCUUACCCAACGUUUGACCGUUCGUCUUAUUUGAUUUUUUAAUUAUUUUUAUUUAUUAGAUGAUAAAACAUGAAUAUUACUUUAUAUGUGACUAAUUAUUUUAUAAAAUUUUUAAAUAAUACGAACGGUUAAAUGUUAGAAACGGAUAUCCACGGCUACACUUAUU
rnacentral:pre_miRNA from 1 species